AGGAAUACGUGUGUGUGUGUGUCUGUGUGUUGCAUCGUCUCCAUCCUUCCCUCUUGUUUGCGUGUUUGUUCGGCUCAUUUUUUUCCGUUUGAGGCGUGUGUGCGUUGUUGUUUUGAACGCCGCGCAGCAGCAGCGGGGUGGCCCGUGUGGAUCGAAGCACCUCUCCCGUCCUAUCGCCUCUGCCGGUGACCCAAAGAAGGGCCACGAAAAGAGGAGGGGGAAGCGCCGCCGCACACCGAAAGGCGCGCAGCGCACUCGUCGUUUCUUCCGCGUUUCACUUCGAGCAUUUCUUCUUCGCUACUUGGCGCGUACUCUCCGAUCGCCCCCGUUGCCUACCCCCUCCGAUCUUCCCACAUCACAGCCACCAUCGCUUCCGGAUGACACCGCACGCUGCCGUGUUGGCGGUGGCCACUGUCGUCGCGGUGCUGCUGGGCUACGGCACUAGGGGCGUAUGUGGUUACAACUUCGUGACCAUCACCUCCCUCUUCUACGUACCCGGUGCUACGGGCACGCGAUCGGAAGACGCGGGUAUGUGUCUGGAGCGUGGCGGGUACCUCGCGACGGAAGCGACCGCGGUGCUGCACGAGGCCGAUGUUCAGGCGCUCGAGUCGGAGGGGUUCACCACAUACUACGCCUUCCUCGGCGGUGGUAUUGUGCAGCCGUGGCACAUGGAAAGCUACGAGAUGGGUUUCUGCCCGUUUUCCAUCAAGGAUCCGGACAUCUGGUGGGAUACGUCGUUCAGUCAGACGAAUGGCGACAACAACAACUGCUACUGGCGGUGGUCCGUGGGUCGCUGGAUCGAGAUGCCGUCCACGUCAGGUCUGCCGUACGACGAGGGAAAGACCGGGAUCAUCUUCUAUCGGGGUCAGAGCACCUUAGGCUACGAUCGGCAGGUUAACGGGUUCCCGCUUUUCUUUCCAUUCAACCCGCCGAUGUACCACCCGAAUAUGCAGCUGGGUCACCACCUUGUUCUCUACCGCGGCGGCCUGCACCCGACCGAAGCCGUGUGGGGGGACACCUACGCCCGCGGCGGCUUCACGUACGGGGACAACUUCGCGAACAACCCACAGCUGGUGGAGGCGACACUGAAGGACUGGAGGCUGGUGUGCCAAGCCCAAGGCCCCCUCCGCCUCAACUACGAAACGGCCAGCGCAUCCAGCCAGCUGCAGGGGCGAUGGUGGGCCGUCUUCUUUUCCAUCCUUUUCGUGCUUUGCCUCAUCACCUUUCUCGCUCUCGUGUUCUGUCAGGAGCGCGAGGACAUGGACGAGCCUCCGGAGGAUGCGCCGGAGUGGGCGGAGAAGGAGACGGCGCAGCGGAUCGUGUCUCGCCGCUACGUGAGUCAGCGCUCCUUCCGCGGCAACGAAAGCAGCAGUAGUCGCAACAGCCUCAGCGACGGCUCGAACUCUAGCAAAGACGAAGACGGCGAGAGUGUGAGCCGCUAAGCCGACAGACGACAACGAAGAAAGAGAGGGAGGUGGGGGCAAGUGGGGCGGAGUGCCCCCGCCGCUCCUCUCUUUGGGGUUGGCUCGCUUUCCCUUCGUUCUUGCGGCUUCCUUUUUUGCUUCGUCCCUCCCCUCCCCUCCCCUCCCCAUCGCUCUGUGCGUGUGUGCUCGCCUUCUUCUUUUUGUGCCUUCGUCGGAGGGCUUCUGUCGCCGUUCUGCGUAUGUAUAAGCGCCCCUCUUAAUGGCCUCUGUCCUUCCCUCUCACGCACGCAUGCAUUCGGGUGCUGUCGCGCAUCGGCAUCGUUGUUCGCUGGUAAGCGGCAAUGUAUGUCUGUAUGCGUGUCACUGUGGUUGGGCCCAACGGGGCUGUGUGUGUGCGUGUAGGGUGUGUGGGGAGGACGGAGUCAGAUCGGCAAGAAGGGGUUGGCAUGAGACACACUCACACACGUGCAUGCAUGCAUAUAACCAUGUGCCUUGCGGGUGUGUGCGAGUGUGUUGCGGCAACCGCUGUGCCGAGCAUCUCUCCAUCCGUCCUCAGCUCCCAGGGUAGAAAGAAGAGCAAAAGCCCAACAAGAAAUGGGGGAGAGGUGUAAAGCGAGAAUCGGGGGGGGGGGGGGCGCGAGCUCGCGAGUGUGUGUGUGUGUGUGUGUGUGUGUGUUCUUUCCGUCCCCGUUGCUUCUGGCUUGUCCCCACUCGCCCAUCUCUCUGUCUUUUUCAGCUUUCUCACGAUGCAAACUCGUCGGUGUGUCGGCGUGUGCCACGGCGUUUCCUAGCCCCCUCCCUCCAUCCGCGACUGUUGUCCUCCUUCAUUCGUUUUUUUUUUCAUGGCUGCAUGUACAAGUCUUUGUGAACAGACUUGCCGUUCUCUCCAUGUCUUGCUUGCACGUUCUUCUAUGCCCAUCAUCAUGUUUGUGUGCAUAUGUGUGUGUGUGUGUGUGUUUCGAAUCCUAUGUUGUUGUUUGUUCUUCGGGGGGGGGAGGUGUCUGUCUGUGUGGACGUUAGGUUUUGUCCCUUGUCCCUCCCUCCCCUCCACCCUUUUAUAUUCUUUUACUCGGUAGACUCCCCUCCCCUUCCCUCUCCCUCUCUUCUCUUGUGCCUUACCUCCUCCUCAGCUCACUGAGUCCAUCGUCUCUCUCUCUCGUGUGUGUGUAUUUCUCUUUUUGCCGGCACCGCCCUCCCGUGUUCUUCCCUCAUCCCUCUCGCGGUCGCAGCUUCUGCUGGCGCUGCUCCCCUUUUCCCCUUCCCCCUUCACACGUCUGUGUGGCGUCGCUCCUGUGUAUCCUUCUGGCGCCUGGCCCCUUCCUUAUUUAUUUAUUUUUCUGUUCCGAAGUCGUUAGAGGGAGCGGUGCGGGGCGAGAGCGCAGGGGCGCGGUGACCGUGCGAGAUGACGCGGGUGCGCCCGCGCUGCUUUGUGUCUUGCUGUUGUAGCCGUUGCUUCCGUUUUUCUUUUUGUUUUUUCGGCGCGGCGUGACGUGCGUGUAUG
rnacentral:misc_RNA from 1 species